GUCAGUUCUUCAGCUCCUCCCUGUUUUCCUUCCCUGGGUCAGGGUUCCCAUGGAGCUUUCUGUUUUGUGUGGCAGGAGUCAGCCCCAGCGGUGAUUUCAUUGCUGUUUUCUGCAGAGAGACAGAAGCCGAUCAUCAGCAGUCGAUGUCCUUCCUGUGCCAGGUCUGCUACAACAUGGCCUUCAUCUUUGCGUACAGCAUGUGACAGGAAAAUAAGGAUUGAAGAACAGCUCUGGCUACUGCAAUAUCUUGAUUUGCAUUGAUAUCCAUAGCAUAAUGCUUCACGAAUGUGUCAGCAGAAGACCACGUUGCUGCUUUGCAAAUGUUAACAAUUGGAACACCCCUGAGCAAGGCAGAUGACGCUUCCUGAGACCUUGUAGAACGAGCCUUAAGAAGCAAUGGACAUUUUAUUCCAGCCAUUGCAUACACCUUAACAAUGGCCGAAACAAUCCAUUGGGACACUGUCUGCAGAGAUGCUUUUUUGCCCUUGUCUUUGUCCCCAAAACAAAUAAACUGAUGCAGACUA